UAGGCAGAUUCACUAAACCAUUAGGUGAAUGACUUAGCUUGAGAACUGAAGAAGGGCGUGGCAAGCUGCGAUAAGCUCUAGUGAGGAGCAUGCAUCCUUAGACCUAGAGAUUCCUGAAUAGGACUUCCUACUCUUUAGAGUGUUUAGAAAUAAAAAAUGACAUGGGGAACUGAAGCGUCUUAGUACCCAUAGGAAAAGAAAUCAACCGAGAUGCUGUUAGUAUCAGCGAGAGAAAGCAGCCCAGGGCAAACUGAAUAUUUCAUAGAAAUAUGGAAUAAAUGUGGUGUUUGAACUGUUAUUAAAUCUUAACUUAUAAUUUCGAAUUUUCUUGAAAUAGAAAACUUCAGAGGGUGAUAGUCCCGUAGAAAUAUAUGAGAAAGAUUUUUACAGUUUCUGAGUAAGGCACAUUGGAUAUUGUGUCUGAAUUUAGGAGGCAUCAACUUCUAACCCUAAAUAUUGUCUCAAGACUGAUAGAAUACAAGUACUGUGAAGGAAAGUUGAAAAGUACCUAUAAAAAGGUCUGAAAAGUUUCUGAAACCUAAUGGUGAUAGCAUGUUACUGUUCUUCGGAAUUGUAACGUACGUUUUGAAUAACGGACCAGGGAGUUUAAUUAAGUGGCAAGAUUAAGAUCCAAAAAGAUAAUAAUCUAAAAUAAAUUAAAAGUCUGCAGUUUACGAGAGACGAAGUAAUAAAAUGCUUUAAGUCACUUGGUUAAUACCCGAAGCCGGGCGAUCUUACCCUGAACAAGGUGAAGCUCCUGAAAGGGAGUGGAGGCCUGAAGAGGUUCUGCGUGCAAGCGUUCUUCUGAUUUGGGGUAAGGGGUGAAAAGCCAAUCGAGCCUGGCAAUAGCUGGUUCCCACUGAAGUUGGCCGUAGUCAAGUCUUGAAGGAGAUAGUUGAAAUGGUAGAGCUACGGAUUGAGAAUUUUGGGGAGUAAAAUCUUCGGUUCUUUGUUCAACUCAAAAUAUUUUAACAUCUUAGAUUUCAGGAAACGGCGGCAGGCGGUAAGCGUCUGUCGCGAGAGGGGAACAACCCAGACUACAAUUAAGGUCCCAAAAUAUUGGUUAAGUGUUAAAGGGUGAAAGACGUGCACAAUCACAGACAGCAGGGAGGUUUGCUUAGAAGCAGCAAUCCUUUAAAGAAAGCGUAAUAGCUCACCUGUCAAGAUUGUGUGCUCUGAAAAUGGACGGGACUAAACCAAUUACCGAUAUUGUAGAUUUCUAAAAAUGAAAUGGUAAGUGGGCAUUUUGUGAGGGCAGAAGUUUUAUCGUGAGAUAGGAUGGACCUUGCAAAAAUGAGAAUCCUGGUGGUAGUAAGAUCUAUAUAUCGUGAGAAUCGAUAAUACCGAAAGGGCAAAGGUUUCUCAGCAAUAUAGUUUAGCUGAGAUUAAGUUGAUCCUAAUUACACUCCUAAUUAGACGUGUAAGAAAGGGAAAAGGGUUAAUAUUCCCUUACCAUUUAGGUACAUAUGGCAACAGAAUAUUAUUUCUCGACUCUUUGGGCUAGAUUAAUAUUUUUCGUCAAAAAUAUUAACCAAAACAAAUCAAGGAAGGAUUGUAAUAAUGAGAACUUGAUUAAAUUUGGGAUGAGUUUAUCUAUGGUAAAUUUAAUUGAUGCCUAGAGACAGUGAAAAGAAAAAUAAUAGGAUCCUAAAUGUUCAUACUGAGAACCGACACAGGUGCCCCUGGGUGAGAAGCCCAAGGUAUGAGGGAGUAACUUAACUUAGGGAAAUCGACAAAUUAGUCCCGUAUCUUCGGUAUAAGGGAUCCCUGCAUUCGUAUCCUUAUGGGUGCGAUUACAGGGUGCAAUAACUAAGGCGGCCCGACUGUUUAACAAAAACUUAACCAACUGCAAGCCUGCAAAGGUGUGUAUAGUUGGUGACGUCUGCCCAGUGCUUGUACUUCAAAUUCCAGUUCAAUGGAACUAAGAGCAAGUAAACGGCGGGAAUAACUAUAAUUCUCUUAAGGUAGCGAAAUGCCUUGUCGUUUGAAUGACGACCUGCAUGAAUGGCGUAACGAGGUU
rnacentral:rRNA from 1 species